AGGUACUCUUUCUGUGGUAAGUUAAGCUCGAGGAAUCUUUAGGUAUGCCGAUUUUUGGGGGAUUUUGGUGCUCCCUGUGGUGUCCAGAAGUUUCAUCAGUUGACAACAGAGCUUCCAUUUUCUUUUGAUAGUCUUGUGCCUGCUGCUCAAUUUCUUUCAGAUUUGAUGAAGAAUUUCGUUGUUUGCUAUAUCGAUUCAAAGAUGGAGGUAGAUUAGGUGAUUUGGGAGUUUUCUAUUGGUUUUGGUGUUGUCAAGUUCUUCAUCACUGUUCGGAUUUCUGGACUUCCUGUAGUGUUCACAGAGUUAGAAUCUAGUUCUAAUCCUUAUGCUUGUUGAAACUUCUGAAUUGGUCAGUGGUGAUUCCGGUUGUGGAUUGGCAGUAUUGCUGAGGUUCAAGAUCAAAUUCGUGUAUUGUUUUCCUUUGGUUGGAUUGAAGUUGAGUGAAUGCUGAAUUGUUGUGAGCAUGAUCCGACUAUGACCUCUUAGUUGCU